UUCUUUGAUAAUUUUUAUAAA
ensembl:piRNA 21ur-772 ncRNA